rnacentral:rRNA from 1 species
GGAGGCAUUCGGGUGAGCGGCGGAGGGUUAGUAACGCGUGGGAACGUACCUUUUGGUAAGGAAUAGCCACUGGAAACGGUGAGUAAUACCUUAUACGCCCUUCGGGGGAAGGAUUUAUCGCCGAGAGAUCGGCCCGCGUUAGAUUAGGUAGUUGGUAGGGUAACGGCCUACCAAGCCUACGAUCUAUAGCUGGUUUUAGAGGAUGAUCAGCAACACUGGGACUGAGACACGGCCCAGACUCCUACGGGAGGCAGCAGUGGGGAAUCUUGGACAAUGGGCGCAAGCCUGAUCCAGCCAUGCCGCGUGUGUGAUGAAGGCCCUAGGGUCGUAAAGCUCUUUCGCCAGGGAUGAUAAUGACAGUACCUGGCAAAGAAACCCCGGCUAACUCCGUGCCAGCAGCCGCGGUAAUACGGAGGGGGUUAGCGUUGUUCGGAAUUACUGGGCGUAAAGCGUACGUAGGCGGACUAUUAAGUCAGGGGUGAAAUCCCGGGGCUCAACCCCGGAACUGCCUUUGAUACUGGUAGUCUAGAGUUCGAGAGAGGUGAGUGGAAUUCCGAGUGUAGAGGUGAAAUUCGUAGAUAUUCGGAGGAACACCAGUGGCGAAGGCGGCUCACUGGCUCGAUACUGACGCUGAGGUACGAAAGUGUGGG